rnacentral:rRNA from 1 species
CCUGUACUUACAGUUAGACUGAUGGAGUGACAAAGAAGGUUAUCCACCCCCAUUAUUGGAUUUGGGGAUAAACCAUAAGGUGGUACAAUAGGCAAAUCCGUUGUGCAUAACACUGAGUGGUGAUGUCGAGUGAACGAGUGAUCAAGUAGCGAAGGUGGCAAUUAAUCAUGCUUUCAAGAAAAGCUGCUAGGGCUAAUUUAACUGUAACCAGUACCGAGAACGAACACACGUAGUCAAGGAGAGGAUCCUAAGGUUAGCGAGUGAACUAUAGCCAAGGAACUCUGCAAAUUAACCCCGUAAGUUAGCGAGAAGGGGUGCUUAUCUAAAAGUAAGCCGCAGUGAAGAACGAGGGGGGACUGUUUAACUAAAACACAACUCUAUGCCAAACCGUAAGGUGAUGUAUAUGGGGUGACACCUGCCCAGUGCUGGAAGGUUAAAGAAGGAGGUUAG